rnacentral:rRNA from 1 species
CAGCCGCCGCGGGAAUACAGAGGGUGCGAGCGUUAAUCGGAUUUACUGGGCGUAAAGCGUGCGUAGGCGGCUUCUUAAGUCGGAUGUGAAAUCCCUGAGCUUAACUUAGGAAUUGCAUUCGAUACUGGGAAGCUAGAGUAUGGGAGAGGAUGGUAGAAUUCAAGGUGUAGCGGUGAAAUGCGUAGAGAUCUGGAGGAAUACCGAUGGCGAAGGCAGCCAUCUGGCCUAAUAAUGACGCUGAGGUACGAAAGCAUGGGGAGCAAACAGGAUUAGAUACCCCAGUAGUCCCUGUCUCUUAUAC